UGUUGGCAUAAUUUCAUGAACAGAUAUUGUUGUUUCCUGAGGAAGUCUCCUCUGACAUCUGGCUAAGCCAGUUUUUACUGCUGUCCUCACAAGACUGGAUGUUUGUUAUAUCCGUGUGUUAGAUAUGUCUGUCUUAAUAACUUUUUAAGAAACAGGGAUAUGAAAGUAUGUUCUUGCAUGAGCUGGUAUGGUGGAAAAACAAUAGCAAAGAGCAUUAAAUGACCUGUCAUGACAAAGUCACUAGCUAGCCUGAAAUAGAGCAUGACUGUCAAGAUUCCUGGGACAUUAUACUUUCCUGGAGUUCCCUCUGCCUUCAUACCAACGAAUCAACAUGUUGCAUUCACUAUGUAGUUAAAAAAAAAUCUUCUCAAGUAACUAACGAUAUCUCAUAAUAAAGUGUCUGUAUCAUCUA